GACGAACGCUGGCGGCGUGCUUAACACAUGCAAGUCGAACGGAAAGGCCCUGCUUUUGUGGGGUGCUCGAGUGGCGAACGGGUGAGUAACACGUGAGUAACCUGCCCUUGACUUUGGGAUAACUUCAGGAAACUGGGGCUAAUACCGGAUAGGAGCUCCUGCUGCAUGGUGGGGGUUGGAAAGUUUCGGCGGUUGGGGAUGGACUCGCGGCUUAUCAGCUUGUUGGUGGGGUAGUGGCUUACCAAGGCUUUGACGGGUAGCCGGCCUGAGAGGGUGACCGGCACAAGUGGACCUGGGAGCGCGCCCGGCGUCCUCCGGGGGGGAGCGGGGGGGAAAGUUGCACAAUGGGCGGAGGCUUGAGGCAGCAACGCCGGGGGCGGGAUGGGGGCUUUCGGUUUGUAACCCGUUUUCGCCUGUGACGAAGGGGGAUUGAGGGGAAGUGGUAAAGAAGCCCGGGUUACCUACGG
rnacentral:rRNA from 1 species